rnacentral:rRNA from 1 species
UACGUAGGUGGCGAGCGUUGUCCGGAUUUAUUGGGCGUAAAGCGCGCGCAGGUGGUGUGGUCAGUCUGUCGUGAAAUCUCCCGGCUCAACUGGGAGGGUGCGGUGGAGACGGCCAGACUAGAGGCACUCAGAGGCCGGUGGAAUUCCCGGUGUAGUGGUGAAAUGCGUAGAGAUCGGGAGGAACACCAGUGGCGAAGGCGGCCGGCUGGGGGUGACCUGACGCUGAGGCGCGAAGGCGUGGGGAGCGAACGGG